rnacentral:rRNA from 1 species
CGGUCCAGACUCCUACGGGAGGCAGCAGUGGGGAAUAUUGCACAAUGGGCGCAAGCCUGAUGCAGCCAUGCCGCGUGUGUGAAGAAGGCCUUCGGGUUGUAAAGCACUUUCAGUCGUGAGGAAGGUAGUAUAGUUAAUAGCAGUAUCAUUUGACGUUAGCGACAGAAGAAGCACCGGCUAACUCCGUGCCAGCAGCCGCGGUAAUACGGAGGGUGCGAGCGUUAAUCGGAAUUACUGGGCGUAAAGCGCAUGCAGGUGGUUUGUUAAGUCAGAUGUGAAAGCCCGGGGCUCAACCUCGGAAUAGCAUUUGAAACUGGCAGACUAGAGUACUGUAGAGGGGGGUAGAAUUUCAGGUGUAGCGGUGAAAUGCGUAGAGAUCUGAAGGAAUACCGGUGGCGAAGGCGGCCCCCUGGACAGAUACUGACACUCAGAUGCGAAAGCGUGGGGAGCAAACAGGAUUAGAUACCCUGGUAGUCCACGCCGUAAACGAUGUCUACUUGGAGGUUGUGGCCUUGAGCCGUGGCUUUCGGAGCUAACGCGUUAAGUAGACCGCCUGGGGAGUACGGUCGCAAGAUUAAAACUCAAAUGAAUUGACGGGGGCCCGCACAAGCGGUGGAGCAUGUGGUUUAAUUCGAUGCAACGCGAAGAACCUUACCUACUCUUGACAUCCAGAGAACUUUCCAGAGAUGGAUUGGUGCCUUCGGGAACUCUGAGACAGGUGCUGCA